rnacentral:rRNA from 1 species
GAAGGCGGCUUUCUGGACAGUACUGACGCUGAGAUGCGAAGCGUGGGGAGCAAACAGGAUUAGAUACCUGGUAGUCACGCUGUAAACGAUGUCGAUUUGGAGUUUGUGCCUAGAUGAUGGGCUCCGAAGCUAACGCGAUAAAUCGACCGCCUGGGGAGUACGGCCGCAAGGUUAAAACUCAAAUGAAUUGACGGGGGCCCGCACAAGCGGUGGAGCAUGUGGUUUAAUUCGAUGCAACGCGAAGAACCUUACCUGGUCUUGACAUCCAUAGAAUUCUGCAGAGAUGUGGGAGUGCCUUCGGGAACUAUGAGACAGGUGCUGCAUGGCUGUCGUCAGCUCGUGUUGUGAAAUGUUGGGUUAAGUCCCGCAACGAGCGCAACCCUUAUUCUUUGUUGCCAGCGAUUUGGUCGGGAACUCAAAGGAGACUGCCGUUGAUAAAGCGGAGGAAGGUGGGGACGACGUCAAGUCAUCAUGGCCCUUACGACCAGGGCUACACACGUGCUACAAUGGCGUAUACAAAGGGAAGCGAAGGUGCGAGCUGGAGCGGAUCUCAUAAAGUACGUCUAAGUUCGGAUUGGAGUCUGCGACUCGACUCCAUGAAGUCGGAAUCGCUAGUAAUCGUAGAUCAGAAUGCUACGGUGAAUACGUUCCCGGGCCUUGUACACACCGCCCGUCACACCAUGGGAGUGGGUUGCACCAGAAGUAGAUAGCUUAACCGCGAGGGGGGCGUUUACCACGGUGUGAUUCAUGACUGGGGUGAAGUCGUAACAAGGUAACCA